rnacentral:rRNA from 1 species
GUGGGGAAUUUUGGACAAUGGGCGCAAGCCUGAUCCAGCAAUGCCGCGUGCAGGAAGAAGGCCUUCGGGUUGUAAACUGCUUUUGUACGGAACGAAACGGUCCUGGCUAAUACCUGGGGCUAAUGACGGUACCGUAAGAAUAAGCACCGGCUAACUACGUGCCAGCAGCCGCGGUAAUACGUAGGGUGCGAGCGGUAAUCGGAAUUACUGGGCGUAAAGCGUGCGCAGGCGGUGCUGUAAGACAGGCGUGAAAUCCCCGGGCUCAACCUGGGAAUUGCGCUUGUGACUGCAGUGCUGGAGUGCGGCAGAGGGGGAUGGAAUUCCGCGUGUAGCAGUGAAAUGCGUAGAUAUGCGGAGGAACACCGAUGGCGAAGGCAAUCCCCUGGGCCUGCACUGACGCUCAUGCACGAAAGCGUGGGGAGCAAACAGGAUUAGAAACCCCUGUAGUCC